rnacentral:lncRNA from 1 species
GAAAGCACUGCUCUCUGUCGUUCAGGGUGAUGCAGGUACUGUCGGGGCAUGGUUGCUUCGGCAGUUCCUGUACUGCAUAGACAGGGAGACGGACGCUCGGUGCCACGACUUCAUCCUUUGCAGGGAGGACACGAAGUAAUACACGCUCACCGUGCCCUCAUAACUGAGUGCUGAUUCCGAAAGUGCAGAAGGCAGCACAGUUGGACACGGUGGUGUCCUUCUAUGAGGACGUGAUGUCGCAGAAGAAAGCUGCGGAUCGCGGAGGGGAAGGUCUUGACUCCCCACACCGGCCGCAGAAGGUGCACUGGAUGCAGAGGAAGGGAGAAUAACGUCCUUUUCUGCCCCAUUAAGGCGACUAGGGACAACGGACUUGGUAAAGUAGUUCCCUCAGGACGCGAGUGGAACCACGAAAAAAAGCUAGGAAGGUAAUGAAGUGUAAUAUUCAGUAGAAUUCUUUGAUAAGGUAAAUUAUCGGCUGAUUAAGGCUCAAUCCUUCUCUGAGUGAGAGAUGGCCUGUGCCCAGCAGUGGGACGAUAAAAAGGCUGUUAUUUAAAUUAUCAGCUAUAUUCUAUUCUAGUUCUCUCGGGAUGUGCACGAAAAAUAAACUAAAAAUUAAUGGUAAAAUAGUUUAUUCAGAAAUAAUAUUAUUGAUACGUAUUUAUUGAUGUAUAUUUAUUAUACUGAUGAAGAAGUAUCGUCGGAAUCAAUGGUCUGGUCAGGUGUAUCUACUGGGGUGAUUCUUUUAGAUUCAUCUGAAAAAAUCUGUAAGUUAAUAUUACAUUAAAAUCUAUAUUAAUAUUAUAAAUCUCACUUGUUUGUUUGAACGUGCUUAUGUCAGACAUUACUGUGUCCUAUUUGAAACAAUAUAUCGGUGUUAGACAGC